rnacentral:rRNA from 1 species
UACGGAGGGUGCGAGCGUUAUUCGGAUUUAUUGGGCGUAAAGGGCGCGUAGGCGGCCGGGCAAGUCUGGUGUGAAAACGCUACCGCUCACCGGAGCGAAUGCGCUGGAUACUGCUUGGCUUGAGUUCGAGAGAGGUUGGCGGAAUACCUGGUGUAGCGGUGGAAUGCGUAGAUAUCAGGUAGAACACCUGUGGCGAAGGCGGCCAACUGGCUCGACACUGACGCUGAGGCGCGAAAGCGUGGGGAGCAAACGGGAUUAGAAACCCUUGUAGU